AUUGAACGCUGGCGGCAGGCCUAACACAUGCAAGUCGAACGAACCCUUCGGGGUUAGUGGCGGACGGGUGAGUAACACGUGGGAACGUGCCUUUAGGUUCGGAAUAACUCAGGGAAACUUGUGCUAAUACCGAAUGUGCCCUUCGGGGGAAAGAUUUAUCGCCUUUAGAGCGGCCCGCGUCUGACUAGCUAGUUGGUGAGGUAAUGGCUCACCAAGGCUACGAUCAGCAGCUGGUCUGAGAGGAUGACCAGCCACAUUGGGACUGAGACACGGCCCAAACUCCUACGGGAGGCAGCAGUGGGGAAUCUUGCGCAAUGGGCGAAAGCCUGACGCAGCCAUGCCGCGUGGAUGAUGAAGGUCUUAGGAUUGUAAAAUCCUUUCACCGGUGAAGAUAAUGACUGUAGCCGGAGAAGAAGCCCCGGCUAACUUCGUGCCAGCAGCCGCAGUAACAC
rnacentral:rRNA from 1 species